rnacentral:lncRNA from 1 species
GGUCUCAUCGGACAUUUCUUCUAUGCGAAGGAGGUCACAGACUUGAUAAAACUCUCUUAGGUGUGUGUAUGGGUUUUCCUCACCUUCUCCUGAGAAAGGUUGUUUUUGAACAAAUUCUAUGUAUUCGGGGUAUAUCUCAAAACUAGAUGCUAUGAUAGGCUUUGAAGAUUUUGGUGGUUCGAGAUGUGUGCCCGUAGGUCUAUGAAAUUCAU